AAGGGUGAAACGGUGCGGUAAGAGCGCACCAGUGCGUCGGGUGACCGGCGCAGCUUGGUAAACCCCACCGGGAGCAAGGUCAAGUGGCCGCGACCGUUUUUUACGGUGCGGCCGUGCCCCGUCGACUGCUCGUCGGUGAAGGGGCAGGUAGACCGCUUGAGGCAGCCGGUGACGGCUGACCCAGAUGGAUGAUCGCCGCCGCACAUGCCCGGGCCCGCGUGCCCGGGGCGGGACAGAAUCCGGCUCACAGGCCCUCUCGACGC
rnacentral:RNase_P_RNA from 1 species